CACUAUAGCCAUGCCACCGUGAACAUGCCUGAUCUCGUCUGAUCUCGGAAGCUAAGCAGGAUCGGGCCUGGUUAGUACUUGGAUGGAAGACCACCUAGAAAUAUCAGGUGCUGUAGGUG
rnacentral:rRNA from 1 species